rnacentral:lncRNA from 1 species
GGCUAGUUUUUUUUCACCUGACCUUAAUUAAUCAAUAAAGUCUUUGAUUGGCUGAUGUCUACAUGUUUCCCUCUAUAAAUUCUCCACCGCAACUAGGAGCAGGAAUUCUGGUAGUUCUUUUAUGUUUUGGGACUGAGGUGAUUGGAGUCAUGGCUGUUGCCUUGAUAUUGAGGGCUUUUCUUCUGUCUGCCAUGCUGUGUCGUGUCUAUAGCUUUCCAGCUAAAGGAUAUUAUGGCCAUCAACCCCUGCCGCAGCUUGGUCAAAUGGAGACUGGUUGGCCAUCUUCAAGCUCCACUGAUGUUCAGCAGUCAGGUCCACCUCCACCUCAGACCCCUGGGCUGUAUACACAGUCCGGCCAAGGUGUGUCUCCGAUGACCUUCUCUGCUGAAGUCAAGGGCUCCAUGCCUCAAACUAGUUCUGGAUAUGAAAAGUUUGAGGCUGCCCCCGUAGCUUUUGGUUCUAAUGAACCACUUGAAGGCCGGUUUUAUUCCCCUGCAUCUGUUAAAGGAGUUCCUCAAGCAAGUCCAAUGGAGCCGUUGCCUGUUCCUGUUGACGCUUAUCUGUAUACAUCAUCGGUGUCUGAGCCUGAAUCUCAGAUGCUGUUUGACCCUCAACCGCCCAAUCCUGAGAUUCUAGUUAUAGCCAGUCCAAUGGAGCCUUUGCCUGUUCCUGUUGACGCUUAUCCGUAUACAUCGUGGGUGUCUGAGCCUGAAUCUCAGAUGCUGUUUGUCCCUCAACAGCCCAAUCCUGAGAUUCUAGUUAUAGCAAGUCCACCACCUCCACCUGAGGCUGCCCUUCCUGUGUUUGAUCCACAUUUCAACUACUGGUGGCAGCCCUCCUACAAAGCUGGGACACUCAUUCAGAGGGGUGCUACUUAUGAACAUGGCAAUGAAGAAUCUGAGUCCCAUGAUUCUGGAUACCUGCAGCCUCCCCCGCCACUCCGAGCCUUCUCUGAGAACCGUGUCCCAGAUUCUAAUGAACCACUUGAAAGCCAGUUUUAUUCCCCUGCACCUGUUCAAGGAGUAAACGGUGUCCCAGAGCCCAGUAGUUAUGUCAGUCCACCCCAGGAGUUAUAUGAUGACCGGUUCUUUGACAUGUUCAUCACUGGCCAACUUCCACCUGGUACAGUAACUCACUUCAGUUCCACCGACGACCAUGGCAGCAAUGCUUGGACCGACAUUAGCUUUGAGAGGAUUCCUCCACCCCCUUACAGGAAGGCUCCAGGUGGCUUGAGCAAAGUGCGCUAUGUUUCAAAGAUCAACACUAAGGUUCCUCAAGGUUUUUCACCGCCCCCUCGGACACCCUGGAAGUUUACUGCUGAAGCACCCUUAAAGCGAGCCUGGUGGUGACGACCAGAAGUACCAGGGGCCACCUCAUGGAUCUCCAGACUUUGCUAAUUGAAUUCAAUUAAAAAGAUAUUAAAUUCCAAGU